rnacentral:rRNA from 1 species
UACAGAGGUCUCAAGCGUUGUUCGGAUUCAUUGGGCGUAAAGGGUGCGUAGGCGGCGCGGUAAGUCGGGUGUGAAAUCUCGGAGCUUAACUCCGAAACUGCAUUCGAUACUGCCGUGCUUGAGGACUGGGGAGGAGACUGGAAUUUACGGUGUAGCGGUGAAAUGCGUAGAUAUCGUAAGGAAGACCAGUGGCGAAGGCGAGUUUCUGGACGGUAACUGACGCUGAGGCACGAAGGCCAGGGGAGCUAACGGG